rnacentral:rRNA from 1 species
UCCCAAACCCAAUGUGAACCAUACCAAACUGUUGCCUCGGCGGGGUCACGCCCCGGGUGCGUCGCAGCCCCGGAACCAGGCGCCCGCCGGAGGGACCAACCAAACUCUUUUCUGUAGUCCCCUCGCGGACGUUAUUUCUUACAGCUCUGAGCAAAAAUUCAAAAUGAAUCAAAACUUUCAACAACGGAUCUCUUGGUUCUGGCAUCGAUGAAGAACGCAGCGAAAUGCGAUAAGUAAUGUGAAUUGCAGAUCAGUGAAUCAUCGAAUCUGUGAACGCACAUUGCGCCCGCCAGUAUUCUGGCGGGCAUGCCUGUCCGAGCGUCAUUUCAACCCUCGAACCCCUCCGGAGGGUCGGCGUUGGGGACCUCGGGAGCCCCUAAGACGGGAUCCCGGCCCCGAAAUACAGUGGCGGUCUCGCCGCAGCCUCUCCUGCGCAGUAGUUUGCACAACUCGCACCGGGAGCGCGGCGCGUCCACGUCCGUAAAACACCCAACUUCUGAAAUGUUGACCUCGGAUUAGGUAGGAAUACCCGCUGAACUUAAGCAUAUCAAUAAGCGGAGGAAAAGAAACCAACAGGGAUUGCCCCAGUAACGGCGAGUGAAGCGGCAACAGCUCAAAUUUGAAAUCUGGCCCCUAGGGUCCGAGUUGUAAUUUGUAGAGGAUGCUUUUGGUGAGGUGCCGCCCGAGUUCCCUGGAACGGGACGCCGCAGAGGGUGAGAGCCCCGUCUGGCUGGCCACCGAGCCUCUGUAAAGCUCC